AGUGGGUGUAGCGUACCUACUAGCCUACGACGGGUACGGGUUGUGAGAGCAAGAGCCCGGAGAUGGAUUCUGAGACACGAAUCCAGGCCCUACGGGGUGCAGCAGGCGCGAAAACUUUACAAUGCUGGCAACAGCGAUAAGGGAACCUCGAGUGCCAGGUUACAAAUCUGGCUGUCGAGAUGCCUAAAAAGCAUUUCAUAGCAAGGGCCGGGCAAGACCGGUGCCAGCCGCCGCGGUAACACCGGCGGCUCGAGUGGUAACCGUUAUUAUUGGGUCUAAAGGGUCUGUAGCCGGCCGGAUAAGUCUCUUGAGAAAUCUGGCAGCUUAACUGUCAGGCUUUCAGGAGAUACUGUCUGGCUCGAGGCCGGGAGAGGUGAGAGGUACUUCAGGGGUAGGGGUGAAAUCUUGUAAUCCUUGAAGGACCACCAGUGGCGAAGGCGUCUCACCAGAACGGACCUGACGGCAAGGGGCGAAAGCUAGGGGCACGAACCGGAUUAGAU
rnacentral:rRNA from 1 species